UGAGCAAAGUUUAUUGCAUAAAGGAAUGUGCAAUUCAAUCACAAAAUAAUAUAGUAAGUAGAUACUGGAUCACAAACCAACACAUAAUAAUUCAACAACCUGCAGAACAGUCUGUAUCAUAAUACUAGUGUUUAAAUUUAACACAAAAAUGAUUCGCUAUUAUAAUUAUCAGGAUUUAAAUGGUAUUUAUUCUCAAUCAACUGAUGUGUUCUCAAGACUGCAUACUAGAAAAGCAACUGACAAUCAAAACAUGUGUUCUCACCUCUGUCCACGGGUUGAAAAAUAGAAUCACAUUUGAUGUACACUGUUAUACUAAACAUUAUUUGUCUCGGGUUUAAUCCCCUUAACAUUAUUACCCAGCAGUGAAGAACCGUUACUCUAUCAUAAGUUUUCAAGCUCAAUAGAGUUCCAUAAUUUACCUUAAGGAUUUAUGCUACCUUAGCUUGACAUGAAUUUUGUUUCACAAAGAGUUCUUAGUUAUUCUUAUAAAAAAAACCCACACCUUUAUAUCAAUGUUUGGACUAGAUUACACCAUCAGUGACAUGAGGUACACACAGGGAUGUGUCUGUGUACUUGGAUGACGCUUGAUAUCAUUUCAUCAAGUAAUAAAAACUUUAAAAGGGAGAUAACCCUACUGCUAAUCAUAGUUUGUAAGGUAGCAUAUAUCCUUAGAUAUUUUAAUAAAGGUUAAAUGUCAUUGGAGAAGAAGUUCCCUUAACUCAACUUUUUUUUUAUAUGUACAUUAUGGCAAUGCAGCGAUAUUAACUGUUAUUGAAUGAGGCAUGGUUAAACAUGGAUCCAGACAUGGCCCUGCCGAAUUCUGGAAGGCUGUUGUACCUACUCCGGUAAAGACUGGUUAAGGAUUAAACCACGGCAUAUCAUUGGUCAGUCUGUAUCAUUAUCACCAUAUAUAUAAUGUUGAGAGUCAUAAACAUCCCAAAACCUGACAAAGAAUGAAAUACAGUAACACAUGUUUACAUUGUUCCGUGACUUUAUGAAAUUUGUUUAGCGUCAAAUUCUUUUCAAAGUGCGAUAAGUGUAUUAUAUAAUAAUUAACAACAUGCAACUAUAAAAAUAUACAUAUAACGUUAUUAAUGUAGACCAACUAUAAAUACGACGAAUGUUCCGACACAACUUCCAUCACCCAGACACCCCGUAGUGCUGUGACUUGUGCUAGGUUUUCGGGCAGUAUCACAGAUAAUGUACAACUUCCAUCACCCAGACACCCAGUAUAGUGCUGUCACUUGUACUAGGUUUCGGGCAGUAUCACAGAUAAUGUAAAACAAUGAUAUAACCGUUCCUCCUGGCUUUAAAAAUUCAGUCAAUCCUUAUAAUUAAUUGAUGUAAUUUUAUCUUGGUUAUCAAUUUAAAAAUUAGAACUUACAUUGAUCAUUAAACAAAGAGAUUAAGUUUGUAGCAACAUUUCGUUUCCACUCGGCUGCUGUUGGGAGUAAAAGACAAUUAAAAAUUAAAAAUUUAUUAUGCAUUUAGAAUUUUUUGAGGACAGAAAGCACACACUGGUAGAAAUACAGCACUAUCAAAAUACAAAUUGAUCUCCUCUGAGAUUCUCUCCCUAAAAUGGCCGACAUAUUGAAAGUGCCUAUUACCGGUAAAUAUCAAAUACAGCUGUGGAUUUGACCCAGAAUAUAAUCGGACUGGCGAAUAUUGUACCGGUAGGUCAAUACAGCUGAUCCCAAAACGAUAUCACGAAACAGCUGUCCAUGGACACGGAUGUAUAUAAGUUAACAAAGUAGGAUUCUAUCCUAACUAGGCUGAUGGAAGCAUUCAAACAAUGUGUAAUAUAUAAUGAUAAAUAAGUGAUUAAAACACUAUAAUACUGAUAGGUAUGUGAUGAGCACAGAUUGGUGAUACCACAAAUGGGACACCAGGUAACUUACAAACAUCAUCAGGAGUAUGAUCAUAAAAAAACAUUCAUAUGACCAUGAUCUGUGAACAUAAACUUUCAUAAGACAAUGAUCCAUCAACAGCACUGUGUUUACCUGUGGUAAUCAUCAUACAAACAAUAUAAGGACCAUCAAAUGCAAACGCCAACAGGACCAAGAUCCAGUAUGAUUGGAUAUAUGGACUCGGAUCCAUUAACAAAGCAUCAACAUGACCUGACCACCAUCGAUCAAAAGCUUUGUUGUGAACAAGAUCAUGCAUCAUAAGAUAUAUGUGCUAAUAAUAUAUAACAAGUUUUCUGAAAUACUUCUUUUUACACACACACGUGGUCUUAUAUAAAUAUAACAAACUCCAGAAAUGUAAUGAAUUGUAUAAAAUAUAUGUCAAAGACAACAAAGAUUGGACAAAAGAUUAAAAUUCAAACCUGUUGUCAUUCUGACCAGAACAAGACAAGGUAUCACAAAUAAAAACAAGAAAAAGAACCAUUUUAAGUUACAAAAUAUAUGAUUACAGUAUAUAAAGGAAAUAUAUUAACAAACUAACAGGCUUACAACAAUGCCUAUAGAAAUAUUCUCAGAAAAAUUCUUUUAAAGUGGAAUAACUUCUUCCUCUUAAAUACCAGUCCUCCAAUAAUAAAGAUAAACCAGUAACGUUGUUGGUGUAAUUUUGAUUAUAGAUAUAUAUUAUAUCUAUUAGUUUUGAUUCUUUUCUCUCUUAUCUCUUUUUAGAUGAAAAUGUGAUCUGGAUAAUCUUGCAUAACUCGGCCAAGUGUAAACAUGCAUGGAUCAUAAUAAUGUUGACUAGGCUAUUUAUAGAUCAGUAAUGUACAUAAUUCUUAUCACUGAAGAACAUGACGUAGAAACUACACUCAUUUAGUUUAAUUAAUCUGAAGUGCAUAAUGGAGGUGUCUCUAAAAUAAGCAAAUAGUUUUUUUUUCUUUCUUUCUCUCUCGAAAGUUUAGCCAGGUUCUGAAAGGUGUGUUAUUUAAAUACUGCUAAUAGUGAAAACAGAGAG
rnacentral:lncRNA from 1 species